UUGACAGAAGAGAGUGAGCAC
rnacentral:ncRNA from 6 species